UGUAGCAUCCAGAACAAUGGACCUGGGAUAAGGGUUUGGGAUUCAAGGCAGUUCUCUUUCCUUGUGGUCUUGGGCAACCCAUUUUAGAUCUUUGGUUCCAUUUCUCCAUCUG